AUUUUCGAAAUCCACAUCUUUUAGCUAUCAACUAAUACAUUUUAUCCUUAUCUGAUGUGCUGGAUGAAUAUUUUUAUAGCUACUUUAUUUUUUUUUGGUUGCCUUAACGUACUCACCAAUAUUAAAUACAUACUUGGUGUAGGUACUCUACAACGUGCUAGGUUUCUUGUGUUCAACUGCCGCGCUCGAGUAACUGCAAAAAUUUCCUCUUCGGCUCCCCUACUAUGGUUUUAAGUUUGCUUAGCUUUUAGUGAUAAAAUGUAUAGAAAGGCACGCAUACGAGUAAUUUCGAAAUUUAAGAAAACAAAAUCAUUAUGAUAAAACAUCAUCUAUCUGCGAGUGGUUGCUAUGCAACGAUUUUUUGGUAAACGAAUUUUGAUGUCACAAGACUUCUUUUAAAUCACAAAUGGAUUCAUACCUGUUCGCGCGCUUAAUUCAUAUUCGCGAACUGGUGUACGGAGAGGACACAAGAGGGCGCUGUAACUCCCAACACGUCAGAUAGAAUACACGUCGACUUUCAACGCGAAAAAACGCGAACAAAGAAAACGAACAAUCUUUACAACGUGUACACCUUAAAACAUUUAUGAAGAAUUAGUAAAUUAGUAAAAGUAUUAUAUUUAUUGUCAUAUUUAAUGUUACGAAUUUGUGGAAAACAAAAUAAACCAGUUCAAGAAAAAUAGUAUAGUAUUUUCUUAUGUGCGAACGCACAUAAAGUGGCGACCGUGACAGGACUUACUGCAAUCUACGGAUUCGAGCGCAACCUACAACAUCAGCCUAAUUACGGACGAAGAAAGCGAAGAAGGAGAAUCUACAGGAAUCUGCGUGGGUUUUGCCAGCAAAAGAGUGAGCCUGUUCCAUUUUAUUCCUUCCCUAAUCGCACUUUGUCACUUCAUACCUAAUAGCAAAAUCUAUGCCUAAUUCUUCCUAAUACUUACCUACUUGCUAUACUUACAGGUUGCCUAAAGCCUAUUUUGCAUUUAAUGCGCCUAUUUUGCGGCUAGUAAGUUAAGCAAACGAUAUUUAAGGUGCCUAAAUAUCAAACACACUUUGUAAAUGAACCAACUAUUCAAUUGUAUAACCUAAAACGUACCUACCUACUACUUGCUUUGCUUACAAGUUGCCUAAAUCCUAUUAUUGCAUUUAAUGCGCCUAUUUUGCGGCUUGAAAGUUAAACAAACUAAAGUUAAGGUGCCAACUAUCAAAUACAAUUUGUAAACUACUCAAUUCUUGUACCUAAAACGUAGUUACUUACCCAAGUUUGAUUCUUGUAAACAACUAUCCUAUUAUUUUAAUUCGCUUGCCUGCCCACAUUAUUCGUGCACAAUAUAAUUCCAUUUUCACUUCUUUCAAUCGAAACAUAACUAUUAUAGCUAAAUUCAUCCCAAUUGCAUUAUUUAUAACUUCACAUACGUUCCCUAUAGCUUUGUCUUGAAUACCUACUACUAUUAGUCGAUAUACAAAGCUGUGCAACAUUCUAUUCCAGCGACAGCUGCACAGCGUGAACGGGGUAUAAGGUUCUCAUCCAUCCCGUGUCCGCGCGUGCACUGCUGCAGGCCAGCAACUGCCGGUGCGCUCCACCCCGCCGCCUCCCGCGCAGCCACUCCGGCUAACGAUUCCAGCGAAUAGAACAAAUGCGACAAAAUUUCUGGAAACGCUGGAGCUUGGAGUACAUCUCUGAAUUACAAGCAAGAGCAAAAUGGCGCGGAAAGUCUAUCGAGCUUCAGGUGGACGACUUGGUUGUGCUCAAAGAGGAAAACCUACCACCCCUCUACUGGCGCUUGGGGCGCAUAGAGCGACUUUAUCCUGGAGACGACGGGGUGCCACGAGUUGCAGACGUCAGAACUUCAAAGGGAAUCGUGCGCCGCGCAUUAAACCGAAUUUGCGUGUUGCGCAACAAUCUUUCUUCUGAGAAGCUUUAGCUUCUGACGCAGCUUCCCAGGGCCGGGUGUAUGUUCGCGCGCUAAUUCAUAUUCGCGAACUGAUGUACGGAGAGGACACAAGAGGGCGCUGUAACUCCCAAUACGUCAAAUAGAAUACACGUCGACUUUCAACGCGAACAAAGAAAGAACAAUCUUAACAACGUGUACACCUUAAAACAUUUUAUGAAGAAUUAGUAAAUUAGUAAAAGUAUUAUAUUUAUUGUCAUAUUUAAUGUUACGAAUUUGUGGAAAACAAAAUAAAUCAGUUCAAGCAAAAAGUGUAGUAAUUUCUUAUGUGCGAACGCA
rnacentral:misc_RNA from 1 species